rnacentral:lncRNA from 10 species
UUUUUACCUACACGAUAGGUCAGAAUUAUAGGGAAGUGAAGAAAAUAUAAAGGUGUCAGAGGAAAAUACUAGAUUCCACGGUUUUGUCGAAAGUGCAUGCUGGUGACGGGAGGGCAUGCCCUCCAAGCCGGAAGUGGAUAGGGUGGUGUCACGUGUUCCGCUUCGUUGGAGGAGGUGGACACCUGUCUUGGAAUCUUGGCUGACCAGCUCUCCUCCCUGCGCCCGGGACUGGACUGCGCUAGGACGUGGAGGCCUCCACCCGGAUUGCGAGCUUUACUCGCAGUGUGGAAGGUGUUGCCCAUUUCAUCUCCACAGCUUUGCCGACCCUGAUCGCUCGUUUCGGUGGCCUGGUGGGUUCACCCCAGGCUGAGCCAGCGCCUACGCACCUCUGAGCAGAGCCUUUGUGGUAGUUAACAACGAACGAUAUACAAUAACUCCGUUUAGUGAGCGCAGACUAUGCGAGAAACGCUACACACACUAUCUUAUUUAAGCCUCAUAGUUCUUAUGAGGUAGGUCUCUUUAUCCAUCGCUUUACAGAUGCAGAGUCCCGAGAUAUUACCUGCUCAGGGUCACACAACUAUUAAUUGGCAGAAAGAAAUAGUACUGACAAACUGCGGAAGGCUGUUUGUUAUUUUUUAUUAGAGACAGGUUGUCACUUUGACGCCCAAGCUGGAGUGCAGUGGCCUGAUCAUAGCUCACUGCCCCCUCGAACUCCAGGGCUCGUGCGAUCCUCCCGCCUAACCCUCUCAAGUACAAACAGGCAAGAGCCACCCAGUGUUUAUUUUUAGUUAGUAAAUAGGAAGACUCUAUUUAGUUACUACAUUUAACAAAUAAAAUUACAGGAUCUCAGUUAAAUUCAAUUUCAGAUAAGGAAUAAUAAUGGGGCAUAUAUUAAGAAAUAGUUGUUUAUCUGUUUAUUUUAUUUUUUUAUUUUUUAGGUAGGGCCUUGCUCUUUCACCCAAGCUGGAGUGCAGCUGUGCGAUCUUGGCUUACUGCAACUUCGGCUUCCAGAGUUCAAGCGAUUCUCGUGCCUCAGCCUCCCAAGUAGCUGGGACUACAGGCACACACCACCACGCCCAGCUAAUUUUUGUAUUUUAGUAGAGAAGGGCUUCACCAUGUUUCCUGGGCUGGUCGCGAACUCCUGGCCUCAAGCAAGCCCCCCGCCUUACCCUCCCAAAAUUCUGGGAUAACAAGUGAAAACCACCUCCCCUGGCCUAAGGAAUCGUGCACUUUAUUGCUAUUUCUUUUAAAGGUCUUAAAGACGCCGGGCCCAGUGGCUCACGUCUGUAAUCCCAGCACUUUGGGAGGCUGAGGCGGGUGGAUCGCCUAAGGUCAGGAGUUCGAGACCAGCCUGGCCAACAUAGUGAAACCCCGUCUCUACUAAAAAUACAAAAAAUUAGCUGGGCAUGGUGGCGCACACCUGUAAUCCCAGCUACUAGGGAGGCUGAGGCAGGAGAAUCGCUUGAACCUGGGAGAUGGAGGUCAUAGUGAGUUGAGAUCAUGCCAUUGCACUCCAGCCUGGGCAACAAGAGUGAAACUCCGUCUCAAAACAAAACAAAAAAAGGUCUUGAAGAACGAAUGAAUUGCUUUACCUGUAGACCAGAAAGAG